GAUGAACGCUGGCGGCGUGCCUAAUACAUGCAAGUAGAACGCUGAAGGAGGAGCUUGCUCUUCUGGAUGAGUUGCGAACGGGUGAGUAACGCGUAGGUAACCUGCCUGGUAGCGGGGGAUAACUAUUGGAAACGAUAGCUAAUACCGCAUGACAACAGUUAUUGCAUGAUAACUGUUUAAAAGGGGCAACUGCUCCACUACCAGAUGGACCUGCGUUGUAUUAGCUAGUUGGUGAGGUAACGGCUCACCAAGGCGACGAUACAUAGCCGACCUGAGAGGGUGAUCGGCCACACUGGGACUGAGACACGGCCCAGACUCCUACGGGAGGCAGCAGUAGGGAAUCUUCGGCAAUGGACGGGAGUCUGACCGAGCAACGCCGCGUGAGUGAAGAAGGUUUUCGGAUCGUAAAGCUCUGUUGUAAGAGAAGAACGAGUGUGAGAGUGGAAAGUUCACACUGUGACGGUAUCUUACCAGAAAGGGACGGCUAACUACGUG
rnacentral:rRNA from 1 species